rnacentral:rRNA from 1 species
CCUACGGGAGGCAGCAGUGAGGAAUAUUGGGCAAUGGGGGCAACCCUGACCCAGCCAUGCCGCGUGAGUGAAGAAGGUCUUCGGAUUGUAAAGCUCUUUCGGACGUGACGAUGAUGACGGUAGCGUCUAAAGAAGCACCGGCAAACUUCGUGCCAGCAGCCGCGGUAAUACGAAGGGUGCGAGCGUUGUUCGGAAUUACUGGGCGUAAAGGGAGUGUAGGCGGAUAUGUAAGAUAGCGGUGAAAUGCCGGGGCUCAACCCCGGAACUGCCAUUAUGACUAUGUAUCUAGAGUAAUGGAGAGGAUAGCGGAAUACCCAGUGUAGAGGUGAAAUUCGUAGAUAUUGGGUAGAACACCGGUGGCGAAGGCGGCUAUCUGGCCAUUUACUGACGCUGAGGCUCGAAAGCAUGGGGAUCAAACAGGAUUAGAUACCCCAGUAGUC